rnacentral:rRNA from 1 species
UMSGGGUGAAAGCGGAGGGCCYUYSGSYUYSCGCAGAUAGAUGAGCCGCCGSCGAAUUAGCUAGUUGCCGGGGURAAAGGCCCACMAAGGCGACGAWCCGUAGCUGGUCURAGAGGAUGAUCAGCCACACUGGAACUGAGACASGGUCCAGACYCCUACGGGAGGCAGCAGUGGGGAAUAUUGGACAAUGGGCGCAAGCCUGAHCMAGCCAUGCCCCGUGUGUGAAGAAGGCCHCCGGGUUGUAAAGCACUUWUGUCCGGAAAGAAAAGCAUUGGAUUAAUACCCCGAUGUCAUGACGGUACCGGAAGAAUAAGCACCGGCUAACUHCGUGCCAGCAGCCGCGGUAAUACGAAGGGUGCAAGCGUUACUNGGAAUUACUGGGCGUAAAGCGUGCGUAGGUGGUUUGUUAAGUCUGAUGUGAAAGCCCUGGGCWCAACCUGGGAAUGGCAUUGGAAACUGGCUUACUAGAGUGCGGUAGAGGGUAGUGGAAUUCVCGGUGUAGCAGUGAAAUGCGUAGAUAUCGGGAGGAACAUCUGUGGCGAAGGCGACUACCUGGACCAGCACUGACACUGAGGCACGAAAGCGUGGGGAGCAAACAGGAUUAGAUACCSUGGUAGUCMACGCCCUAAACGAUGCGAACUGGAUGUUGGGAGCAACUUGGCUCUNAGUAUCGAACUAACGCGUUAAGUUCGCCGCCUGGAAGUACGG